CUUCGAACAGCCUAUAUGGAAUCGGGAUUCAAUCCGACGGCAAUCCAAACGAGCUAUGGCUCAAACGAAUCAUCGUUCCAUUCUGAGAAUUUCGUGGAACAACUUUUUUCUCGAAAAUUUUUUUUUAAUACCGAGAACCAGAAAA